rnacentral:tRNA from 1 species
GCGAGAGUGGUGAAAUUGGCAUACACGCUAGACUUAGGAUCUAGUGCCGCAAGGCGUAAGGGUUCGACUCCCUUCUCUCGCA